GCGUGAAUGGUUUAGUGGUAAAAUUCUCCGUUGCCAUCGGGGAGCCCUGGAUUCGAUUCCCAGUUCACGCA
rnacentral:tRNA from 1 species